CUUGAGCGAGCCCAGCCACAGCGGGUACUCGGGGUCGCGGCCCUGGCCGUACGUCGCCAGCAGCGCCUGCGCCUC
rnacentral:antisense_RNA from 1 species